GCGCUCGUAGCUCAGUGGUAGAGCAUCCGCCUUUUAAGCGGGGGGCCGUGAGUUCAAGUCUCACCGGGCGCACCA
rnacentral:tRNA from 2 species